AUUGAACGCUGGCGGCAGGCCUAACACAUGCAAGUCGAGCGGAUGAAGGGAGCUUGCUCCUGGAUUCAGCGGCGGACGGGUGAGUAAUGCCUAGGAAUCUGCCUGGUAGUGGGGGAUAACGUCCGGAAACGGGCGCUAAUACCGCAUACGUCCUGAGGGCGACAGUGGGGGAUCUUCGGACCUCACGCUAUCAGAUGAGCCUAGGUCGGAUUAGCUAGCUGGUGGGGUAAAGGCCUACCAGGGCGCCGAUCCGUAACUGGUCUGAGAGGAGGAUCAGUCACAGUGGAACUGAGACACGGUCCAGACUCCUACGGGAGGCAGCAGUGGGGAAUAGAGGACAAAGUGCGAAAGCCUGAUCCAGCCAUGCAGGGCGGGUGAAGAAGGUCUGCGGAUGGGAAAGCACUUUAAGUGGGGAGGAAGGGUAGUAAGUGAAAAGCUGGCUGUUUGGACGUUACCAACAGAAUAAGCACCGGCUAAUUUCGU
rnacentral:rRNA from 1 species